GACGAACGCUGGCGGCGUGCUUAACACAUGCAAGUCGAGCGGAGAGGCCACUUCGGUGGUACUCGAGCGGCGAACGGGUGAGUAACACGUGAGUAAUCUGCCCUGGACUUUGGGAUAGCCACCGGAAACGGUGAUUAAUACCGGAUACGACGACUCCACGCAUGUGGUGGUUGUGGAAAGUUUUUCGGUUCAGGAUGUGCUCGCGGCCUAUCAGCUUGAUGGUGGGGUAAUGGCCUACCAUGGCUUCGACGGGUAGCCGGCCUGAGAGGGUGGCCGGCCACACUGGGACUGAGACACGGACCGGCCUCCGACGGGAGGCAGCAGUGGGGAAUAUUGGACAAUGGGCGGAAGCCUGAUCCAGCAACGCCGCGUGAGGGAUGACGGCCUUCGGGUUGUAAACCUCUUUCAGUACCGACGAAGCGAAAGUGACGGUAGGUACAGAAGAAGCACCGGCCAACUACGUGCCAGCCGCCGCAGUAACAC
rnacentral:rRNA from 1 species